CGGAGGAUCCAAGCGUUAUCCGGAAUCAUUGGGUUUAAAGGGUCCGUAGGCGGUUUUGUAAGUCAGUGGUGAAAUCCGGCAGCUCAACUGUCGAACUGCCAUUGAUACUGCAGGACUUGAAUAAUUGUGAAGUAACUAGAAUAUGUAGUGUAGCGGUGAAAUGCUUAGAUAUUACAUGGAAUACCCAUUGCGAAGGCAGGUUACUAACAGUGGAUUGACGCUGAUGGACGAAAGCGUGGGGAGCGAACAGGAUUAGAUACCCUGGUAGUCCACGCCGUAAACGAUGGAUACUAGCUGUUCGGAAGCAAUUCUGAGUGGCUAAGCGAAAGUGAUAAGUAUCCCACCUGGGGAGUACGAACGCAAGUUUG
rnacentral:rRNA from 1 species